UACAGAGGUGGCAAGCGUUGUUCGGAAUUACUGGGCGUAAAGGGCGCGUAGGCGGCCUACUAAGUCAGACGUGAAAUCCCCCCGGCUUAACCUGGGAACUGCGUCUGAUACUGGAAGGCUUGAGGAUGGGAGAGGGAUGUAGAAUUCCCGGUGUAGCGGUGAAGUGCGCAGAUAUCGGGAGGAACACCAAUGGCGAAGGCAGCUCGCUGGGACGUUACUGACGCUGAGACGCGAAAGCGUGGGGAGCAAACAGG
rnacentral:rRNA from 1 species